rnacentral:ncRNA from 1 species
CGAAGCUCCGGAAAGUGGGGGUCUUCCCUCACGCCGAAGGUGCAACCGGGGUCCAGCUCCGGGAAUCUCUCAGGCAAAGAACGGAGGCG